ACUAGCAUGAACGGCUAAAUGAGGACUAUACUGUCUCUUAUAAUAAACCAAUGAAACUGAUCUUUCAGUCCAAAAGCUGAAAUAUCCCCAUAAGACGAGAAGACCCUGUGGAGCUUUAAACUAAAAGCAACACACCAUGCUAACUUAGUUUUUAGUUGGGGCGACUUCGGAGUACAAAAAAACCUCCGACAUAGAACACCAAAUCAAGACUAACAAGUCAAAAUACUACUUGACCCAGUAGAUCUAGCCUUAUAGACUAUCUGACUAAUGAACCAAGUUACCCCAGGGAUAACAGCGCUAUCCUCUUCUAGAGUUCAUAUCAACAAGAGGGUUUACGACCUCGAUGUUGGAUCAGGACACCCAAAUGGUGCAGCCGCUAUUAAAG
rnacentral:rRNA from 1 species